AGGGAAUCUUCCGCAAUGGACGCAAGUCUGAUGGAGCAACGCCGCGUGAGUGAAGAAGGUUUUCGGACCGUAAAGCUCUGUUGUUGGUGAAGAAGGAUAGAGGUAGUAACUGGCCUUUAUUUGACGGUAAUCAACCAGAAAGUCACGGCUAACUACGUGCCAGCAGCCGCGGUAAUACGUAGGUGGCAAGCGUUGUCCGGAUUUAUUGGGCGUAAAGCGAGCGCAGGCGGAAGAAUAAGUCUGAUGUGAAAGCCCUCGGCUUAACCGAGGAAUUGCAUCGGAAACUGUUUUCUUGAGUGCAGAAGAGGAGAGUAGAACUCCAUGUGUAGCGGUGGAAUGCGUAGAUAUAUGGAAGAAUACCAGUGGCGAAGGCGGCUCUCUGGUCUGCAAACUGACGCUGAGGCUCGAAAGCAUGGGUAGCGAACAGGAUUAGAUACCCUGGUAGUCCAUGCCGUAAACGAUGAGUGCUAAGUGUUGGGAGGCUUCCGCCUCUCAGUGCUGCAGCUAACGCAUUAAGCACUCCGCCUGGGGGAGUACGACCGCAAGGUUGAAAC
rnacentral:rRNA from 1 species